rnacentral:lncRNA from 1 species
UCGCUCUUUGCAUAUUUCCAUAAUAAUAAUAAUGAUCGUCAUUGUAAUAAUAACUACCACAUAUUGAGUGAUUGAAAUUAUUCUACCCAGUUACAAAAUGUUUUAAAAUGCACUAUCUAAUUUAAUUCUCAUAACAACCUUAUGUAGUCAGUUCCAUAUUUUGAAGACAAACAGAAGCUCAGAGAGAACAAGUAACUUGUCCUGGGUUCACAGUUCUUUAAAGAGGCAGCUGCCACUGGAAAAUAGGUGUGCCUGACCCCAUGGCCUAUGCCCAUGGCCACAGUGACAUUUUCCCUUUUCUUAUGUUAAUCUCCCUUCUGGGAAAUCAUGUCAAUAACUAGUUUGCAUUCAAGGAAACAUAUUUUUUUUCUAGUUUAGGCUGUAAAAUAUGAAAUACAUUGUUAAUGAGAACAGAGCAGUGUAAGAUAUAAAUCUUGAAUAAAUUACAAGCUAGUAGCUGCCUGUAACUGUGUUGCAAAUGGAGAUUUGUUCCUACCAAUGCAUGAGUUUUAUGAAGCCUAGGAAUGAAAAGUGGAGACAACUUUGUCUCUGGACUAGGGGCUGAUCUAUGGAGAGAACCAAGUAGUAAACCUCUUCCUGCGUACUGGUGCAUAUGCCUAGUGUAAAAUGCCUCCACCAGCACUCAUAUCCCUGUUCAUACACCAUAAACAAGGUCCUUCUUUUUAAAUCAAUUAGCCGGCACCGAGAACAGGCAGAAGGGAGUGUGCAGCUAUGCCAACUGGCUGGGGAGUAGCUCAUCUUUCUGGUUUGCUAUGCUGGGUAGAUUGGAUGAGGAGAUUAAGGCUGGUGAGGAUAUAAGUCUUACUCCAUAUCACUUGUUCAUUCUGAUUCUAUCAGGAGAGAGUUCGGUGCAGCUGUGGCUGGGGGCAUAGCAUGAGGAGGGGAGAAGCAUACUUUGGGCUAGGCCAGGGCUGGAGUUAAUUAGACAAUCAGUGUAAUAGGAGACCACUAGUUGCUUUCUCUGAAGCUGCACCUGUGAUUUAUUGAAACUUGGCUUUGAACCCCAAACGUAUCUUUCCAGCAUGUUGGCUCAUUUCUGAGUUUUCUCUACUAGCACCUCCAUUUAACAUUUGAGUAGUAUUUUUCAUCCUUUUUCAUUAUGCCUAAAAGGAAACAUCACAGUCAGAACUUGAAAUGUUACUGUAGUUCCACUGAACCAAUAGCUUUCCCCUCCCUCCCUUUUCUUCCUAGUUUCCUUUUCACUCUUUUCUCUUUUUGUCUUAAAAAAAAAUUGGUGGAUACAUGAGGAAACAGAAGUUCAUAGACAUCAAUCUGUUAGCAACAGAAUGAGGAUUAUAAUGCAGAUCUCAGCUUUGUGUUCCUUGACACUGUGUGGACAGUUGCUCUGUUCACUAUUCUUCUUACUGGUGCUAAAUCUAUUUUUAACUAGAUCCCCAUUGCAUUUUGAGUGUGCAGCUCAUGUUAGUGACAAAAAUGAUGGAGACAAUGAGAGCAGUCCUCUUUGAAGCAAGCAUUGCAAUCCACAAUCCAGGAAGAGUAGAAAUGUGGCCUGGAGGAUCAAGUCUUAAUUCCACAGUCACAAGCACUCCUGCCGGAACCGUUGUUGUUAUUUUACAACCAACAUUAAUACUCUUGGGGAAUAUUCGGUUGCC